UACAUAAUUUACAUAUAAUUCAUGAAUACAUAAAAUAAAUGCAUGAAUAUAUAUAUCCAGUGUAUGUUUACGUUAAAGAAGUAUCCAUACAUUUCUAUUCUCUGUUUUACUAAAAUAGUUGUUGAAUGUUUUCAUCAUAUAUUUCAGCAUCUAUGGAAAUAAUCACAUUAUUUUUCUAUGUGAAAGUCCCACUAUAGGGAUACAUUUUGUAAUAUUGUACUAUCCUUGCAUUACUGGUAUCAAUUUUACCUGCCUUGCUGUGUUACUUUUUUAUGCAGAGGUGUGUCUGCUAAUUAUUUUUCAUUUUUGCAUCAAAUUCAUAUAUGAUAUUGUUCCUUAAUUUUUUGUGAUAUAUUUUUCAGAAGUAAGCACCAAUGUUGCACUUGUUUUAUAAAAAGAAUUUAGGAGUUUUUCUUCACUAUAUACACUCUGAAUCAAUUUAUGAUGUGUUACUUCUACCUAAGAAAAGUCAUCUAUGUCUUGUUAUUUUGUGAAGUGCUUCUUUGAUAUUUUCUCUCUUUCUUCCUUGGGAAUUGGCCUAUUUAAAUUUGUAUUUCUACUGAGGUUAAUUUUCGUAAGUUGUAUUUUCCUAAGAAAUUAUCUAUCUCACUGAGGUCUUCAAGUUAUCACUAAGAAAAGUAGUCUCUUACUAGCUUAGAAAAGUAUUCUCUUUUUAUUUAAAACAUUUUAUCUGUAUCAAUAAUUAUUUUCCCUUGUCAUUCUUAUGUUGUAUAUUUGGAUUUUCUCACCUUUUCUUGAUUAAUUUAUCUAGUGGUUUUUGUUUAUUAUUUCCAAAGAAUAAAGAUUUUUAUUUUUUGAUUUAAUAUUUUUAUGGUUUUUAACCUACUGUGUGCUUUUCGUGGUUUUAGUAUUUUACCACAUUUUUAUUUUCUUAAGUUGCAAAUGUAAUUUACAUUUUAAAAUUAUUUUAUUUUACUGAUCUAGAUGUUUUAAGAUGUUAAAUAUCCUUUCAUAUAUCUGUUUUAGUUUAUUUCAGAAAUUCAUUAUUCAGAAAUUCUGUAAUUUUUGUUUGGAUUUUCCCUUUUAUCCAAGUGUCAUUUAAUAAGAAGGUACACAUAUAUUUGUGUAUAUAUAUAUAUGUGUGUGUGUGUGUGUGUGUGUGUGUUUUAUAUAUGUAUGUGUUUUAUCCAAGAGUUCUUUAAUAGAAAGUUUUAUAUUAUGUAAAAUAUAUUUUAUUUUUAUUUAUACAAACACACAUAUACGUAUACUUACAGGUAGAAGAGCUUUAUGUUUAAAAUUUAAUUUUUAAGUUUAAAUUUUACCAUAGUGUAAUUAGAGUUGCUUGCAAUAUUUCUGUUUUAUGAGGUUUGCUGAUGUUUUCUAUUUGACCUAAUAUGUGAUCAGUUUAUGGGAAUGAUUCAUACUGAAGAAGGAGGUACAGUCUAUUAUAAGGAAUAUUGUCCAGUUUUGAUAUAAAAAAUCAGACUUAUUAUGCUUUAUAGAUCUUCUAUAUCCUCACUUAUUUUUUUUCAUUUGACUUGUUUCUACUGAGAGUCAUAUUUUAAAGUCUUCUUUUAUUAUGUUUUUUUCUCCUUGCAUCUUUUGUAGUUUGUGCUUUUCGAAGUGGUGACUCUGUUAUUUGCUGUGUUGAUAUUCAUAACUGUUACAUCUUUGAAUUGCAGCUUUAAGCGUUAUAGAGUAUCCUUAAGGCCUUUGGCCUGAAUUCUGCUUUUUCUUAUAUGAAUAUUGCAGUUCUUCCUGUUUUAUUGUUUAAUUUUCCUGCUAUAUCCUUUCCCAUCCCUGUAAUUUUGGCCUUGUCGAAUCAGUGUAUAUUGUCUGCCCCUCACAUAGAAAAUAAAGUUGGGAUUUGCUCUAUGAGCCAAUUUGAAAAUUUUCCUUGCAACAGAUGAAUUAAACCUAUUCUUUUUGAUGUGGCUGAUAUGUUGGUAUCAAUUCUAUACAUAAGUUUAUGUUGCUGCUACUAUUUGUAUUUUGUUAUAUAUACUGUGUUUCUCUGUUUAGUAUAUAUAUGUAUACUGUAUUUUGUUAUAUAUACUGUGUUUCUCUGUUUAGUGCUUCUUUGCUAUUUAAAAAACAUUUUGGUGUUUUUGAAAGUGGGUAAUUUUAUUCUAAUGGUUACUUUAGUAUUUAUACUUUUAUUGCCCUUAAUAUACUUUUUUUUUUUUAUAAAUUACCUUUUACUAUGUGGACUGUAAAUCUUACAUUAUACCCUUUUACUCUCAUCUUUUACUUAUAAAACAGCCAAUAAUCUUAUUCUGCUUUCUCUGCAGUUUAAUUUUUCACCCUUGUAAGUAACUUGAUCUUAUUGCCUGUUUACCUUCAGUGAUUUUUUUUUUCUUUAAAUUCUAGUUGUUUUCUAGGAGCCAUCUCAGACUUUCUUACUUUUGAGUUUUCCAUGCAUACAGUGGGGCCAUAAAAUAUGUAAAAAUAAGUUUUUUUGGUUCUGAUUUUUAAGAUUAUAGUUUUAUAUAUCAGUUAUAUUAGACUGUUUAAUUUUUCUCCAGACUUCAAUUAUAUGUGUGUUAAACAUUUUUUGCAUAUCUUCCAUUUCAAGCAUCUUUUCUUUGACCCUUUUAUUUAUUUAUCUCAUUUUUAUUCUCUUUGUUGUUUUUCUGCUUUUCUUCAAAGUCCCUUAUUAAACUUUCAGUAGAAUCUGUUAUAAAUCUGGGGUAUCUUUUAAUUUAUCUUUUAUUUCUGAAAUGGACUUGUCUUUUCCUCCAAUUUCUUUACUAAGAUCAAUCAACUUUUAUUGCAUUACUUCCUCUUUUUUUCCACUUAUAUUCUUUGUUUUAAAUUUCUGAUUCUAGUUUAUAUUUAUAUCCAUAUUGAUAUCUACAUAUCUAUAUCUAAUUUCCAAAAGCUUGUUUGAGAUUUUUUUAAUUAAACUUGAAAUUAAGCUGAACUAAAAAAAAAUUGUGUUAGACUAUUCUUUGGUUUUGUGGCAGUUUUCUUCUUUUUUGAUAAAUAACAUUUCAGUGUCCGAAGUAUUUUGACUUAAAUUUUCUGUUUUCUUCUUCCAUUAGCUCUGUAUGUCAUUGGCUUUUUUUUUUUCUUUUUUUCCUAUUCCUGGGCAUUUUGGGGGUAGGGGUAGGAUUCUCAGCCCAGAAAUCCCUGCUUCUGUCAGUAUAGUGAGGCCAUUUCUUUAAUGAAUGUCAUUGUGGUAGGGGAGAAGCAAAGAACUGGCAUGACCUGUUACUGUUUAAUUUCUGAAAGAUCCUCAAUUAUCUCCUCUUCUUCUUUCUUAUUUCUCCUACAUCAUCAGGACAUAAUUCUCUCUCUACUUUUAUGAUUCUUUCUAAGAAGGAAUGCUUUACAAAGCUACUGGCUGCUUUAAUACUACUCACUUUUAAACAUCUUUCCUAUACCAAGUGUUGUGAACUACAAGAUACCAUACCCAGAGUUUUUCCACUUAGUAUUGUACUUCCUUUCUCUGGGGUCUGUGCCUCGUCUAUGUGCUCUACAUUUUUAUGAUGUGUCUUAAGUUUCUUUCUUUCUUUCUUUCUUUCUUUCUUUCUUUCUUUCUUUCUUUCUUUCUUUCUUUCUUUCUUUCUUUCCUUCUUUCUUUUCUUUUCUUUUCUUUUCUUUUCUUUCUCUCUUUCUCUCUUUCUCUCUCUCUUCUUCUUUCUUUCUUCUUCACCCACAAGCUGACAGUUAUGUCAGGAGGUUUGUUGUGAUGUGACAUUUAUAUCUGUAUUUAUAGACAAACUGAUGUUCAUAGGAUUUUCUAUUUCCUGGUAAUACUAAAGUCUUGAAUCACUUGUAAUUUCAUCUGCACUGUUUUUUGAUAUAAUCUGCAGGGAGGACUUGAGGAGAGAUUCAGGUUCAGGAGGGCACCCUUUUUCCCAGUCUCAGAAUUUACUUGGAAAGAGAGUUUUUGAAUCGAUUGCUUUCCAGGUUGACUAUAUGCAGUAAAAUCACCUUGGAAUUGUUUCUUAUAGAAUUUUUAUGUUUUGCAUUUAAAAAGUUUUUUGAGGCCUUAAGUUGUAUAUCCAUAAUUGAACUCAAUACUUUAUGUAAAGGGGGGGUCUUAUACUUUUGAUUUUCACCAUACUGUCUGGUAUAAUAACUUACAUAUGAUAGUUUCUCAAUAAAUAUUAAUUAUUCGAUGUUAAGAUUAUUAUAUAUUGAAAGUAUUUUAUAUAAGAAACUGGAAGCAAAGCAUUUCGGUUAUUCAUGUUCUUUGAAAGUUUCUUACAUUGAAAAUAUUGAGAAAUAUCUUCUAAAACAAAUAAAUAUAGUUCUUUUUUAAAGCAGCCAUAUUUUGAGGAAAACAUGCAUUUAAGAACAUAUUCUCAUGAAAAAUCUGGAAAAAUACAGACUAAUUUCUCCAAUUCUUAUUUUUCUCUAUACCUACUCUAUACAAAAAAAAAAAAACAAAAACAAAUGAAGACCCAUAAAUUUUAUUCUUUAUUUUAGCAUGUGUAAAAAUUAAGGCAACAAACAAUAAGAAAAUAGAACACAUUAUUUUAAUCUCUGCUAUUUAUUAAUUCAUUUAAUUUAAAUGCAAAUUAUAUGUUUUAAUAAUCAUAAAUUGCUUGGCAUCAGGUUGCUCCUGGUAAUGAGCAGUUCGAGAGAUGGCACUUUUUUGAAAUUCUAAUAAAGCAUUCCAUGGAGCCUCCUUCCUUUGUGAACAUGGCUGUCAUUGAAACACCCUGAAAUACAGAGCUGAAAUGAUUUAAAACCUCAGAAGAAGGUUUUUAAGGUUGGAAUAGGAAACCACUCUUGGUUUCAUGGCUAGAUCUGAACAUUGAAGUUAAGAAGCAAUUUCAAAUCAAUCGGUAGAAAGAUUUUACUUCUGAUCAUGAGCAAGAGGCCCUUUCUCUGGUAGGUGUCAGGAAUCAUGUGAUGGACACUAAUGAUGUCUGCUGCCUUUUAUCAUCUGUCAGGGACAAGUCACAUUUAUUUCCACACAGACAGUAAGAACAUUUAAUGAAACAAAACAGCAUUAUCGAGCUCCAGGUUCCCAAUUCUCUUUGGUCCUAGAAAUGAGGCUCCAGGUUCAUUAAAUUGUGGCUUGUGGAGGUACACCACAAUUAUAGUCUACUCAACCAAAAAUUAUAAUAAGAUCCCAAAGCAAGGCUCACAUACACUGACCCACUUGUUUCUACUUUAAAAGUUCAAAUCAAUUCAGCCGAUCACAGGUUUAGAUCGUAUGUAUAUGCAGAUAGAUAGAUAGAUAAAAUUAUAUAUAGUUUUGUUACUCUUUAACAUACAAUUAUAUGUUCAUUAUUCAAAAAAUACAAAAGCAAAUUAAAAAAACCCAAAUUAUAUUGCCCAGAUUUAUCCUCUGUUAAUAUUUAUAUAUUUGUGGUUUUGCUCUUUAGCCUUCCAGACUUUAUGAAACCUUCAUAUUCAUUUAAAAAUAUGUAAAUUAUUUGUUCCCUGUUCUCUGUCUGAUUACAAGAACACCCAAAUUUUUGCUCCCUUAAAUCAAAAGAUACGUAAAUAUAGGGAGAUACAAGCAUAUUGUAUUGCUAUGUUCUUUUUUUUUUUUUUUGAGACAGAGUCUCGCUCUGUUGCCCAGGCUGGAGUGCAGUGGUGCUAUCUAGGCUGCAAGCUCCGCCUCCCGGGUUCACGCCAUUCUCCUGCCUCAGCCCGAGUAGCUGGGACUACAGGUUCCCGUCACCACACCUGGCUAAUUUUUUGUAUUUUUAGUAGAUGCUAUAUUCUUUUUAAUAUAUUCAUUCACUCAACAAAUAUUUAUUGAGUUUCUACUACAUGCAAGAUACUUUUUAGCCAUUGGAAAUACAGCAGCAAACUAAAACUGAUAAAUUUCUAUUAUAGGGCUCACAUUCUGGAGAAGUAGGUAAACAGAGAUAUAAAAUUAAAAAAUGAAAAAAAAAUGCAUGCAAAUAUAACACACAUUUUAUUCCAGGUGGUGAGAAGUGCUAUUUAGAAAAAGAAGACAGACAAGGGGGAAAUCAGCAUUUCCAUUUGCCCCACUUACUCUGCCACAGCCAUAAUUCAGACUUCUCUUGAUUUCUCCAGAUAUGCUUUGACCUCAGGGGCUUUACAAUGACUCUUCUAUACUACACACUCUUUCACCUCUUUCUAAUCUUUCUUCAAAUGUCACCUUCUUUAUUGAGGUACCACCCUAACUACCCUAUUUAAUAUUUCAACCUGGUGCCCCCGGUCCUGCCAGAGCACUUCUAAGCCACUUGCCACCUCUCUACUACUCAAUGAUUAUCACUUUUGAACAUCCCAUCUAUUCUGCUUAGUUAUUAUGCAUAUUGUCUAUUUUCAGUUUCCCUCCACUGUAAUGAAAGAUCCACAGGAGCAGAGAUUCCUGUCUGGUUACUGUUGUGUUCAAAGUGCUAAAACUAGUGCCUGGCAUACAGUAAGUGCUCAAAGAAUACUUGUUAGUUGAUUAAAGUAGAGAUGUUGAAUAGAUGGUUGAAUAUCUAAGACUUGAGAUUUGGGGAGGAGUCCAGGCUGGAAAUGCAAAUUUGGGAGUCAUAUAAGGUGACAUUUUCAGCCAUAAAAUUUGAAGAAAUCUGGGAAAUGAGUAAAAAUAGAGAAGUCCUAUGAAAAAGUUUUAAAAAUCAGCAAAUUAAGCCCAGGACAUCUCUUAAGUUUUAUGUGACAUCUCUUGUUUUACCACUCUUUUAACUACUAUAUUACAAGAUAACCUCUGUAAUUCUGCAUUGUAAAAAGAUUUUUAUGAUAACUCUAGUUUCAUUAAAUGUAUUAUAAAGAUUCUAAUUUUUACAAAAUUAGCCACAUGCAAUAUUGUAGCACAUAAACUGCACUGCAGAGCUGUCAAUGAGCAGAGAAUAUAUUGAAUGCCUGAAGAUGCAUAAUCUCUACUUUAGAUACCAUUGAUCUAGAAAAUAAGAUUCAAAAGGACCUCAGAUUGAGAUCAUCCAAAGAAGACUCCAUUACUUUCUUUCUUUGUUCUCUUCAUCUUCUAAAAUUUUCUACUUCUAUCAAUGGCACAUCUUUCUGUAAAAACCUACACAAUUCCUCUUCCUUCCCUCUCAGCCAAAUGCCAAUCUAUGGUGGCUUCACAUCCUGUCCAUUUCACAUCUGUGCUCACUUUUGAAUCCUUCCGUAUUCUUCCUUACUGUGAGCAUCUUAUUUCAGGCCUUGAAUGCUACCAUUUCUGUCUUCUCUUCUAACCGAAUGUCACAUUCUCUAUUAAGUUUCAUCUCCAUUCACUAUAUCUCCUUUUCACCUUCCUUUCAUUCCUGAUCUAUUGUAUUUAUGCUUAUAUUCUUACAUCUCCACCACAUCUGCUCUAGCUGAGCUUACUAAUAAUCUCCUAAAUGCCCAAUUCAAUGGACACUUUUCAGUUCUUACUUUGCUUGUCUCUGGCAUUUGAUACUGUUUGAAACUGUCUUCUACUUGAUACCUUUCCUUCUUUUGGCUUCUGUCAUACCAUGUUUUCCUACCUUUUCACUUUCUUUUCUGAUUCUUUACAGCCUCCUCUGUGGCCUCCCUUUGUUUCUCUUUGGCCCUAAAAUUCAGUGGUUCUUAGGGUUCAGUCUGAGGUCCUCUUCUAGCUCCUCAAAGUCUUAUCUACAUGAACCCCUAGUCCCAAUCUAAUUAGCCUCCUCUAUUCCCUGAUGCUCACCUAUGAUUCCCCUCUCUGCUCUUGGAUCAUUCUGUGCCUACUUUCUAGGUUCCUUCUCUAUUGUCACUAGCUACUCAGUCACAGAUCUCUAGUAUUGGUGCUUCAAGACUCAACCGUAAUUACAUUUUCUCUUUCUCAUCAGAGUAUUUCAGCUGUACCUUUCAUAAGGCACUUUCCACAGCCCAUUAAGCAUUAGAAUUAUUUAUGUAGCCUGCUAUCUUUCCAUGGGCUGACUCCAUGUCUAAUUUUUUCUUUCCUAGAUUGUCAUUGUAUUGUAGCUGGAACUCAGUCAGUGGACUGAAUAAAGAAUAAAUAAAUAGGAAUGUGCCUCAUAUUACCAUAGCACAGUACUAGUCACUAGGAAAUGGUCGUUUAGUUAGCAGCCUCCAGAACUGCCUAGCACACUCCCAAAUUAAGGACUGAAAAACGAAUUUCUUGUCUGGUUGGGUGCAUGGUGCUUGACGAGGCAUCCCAGUGAAUGGUGGGUACAGCACAGAUUCAUGGGGAAGUACUUUUCCACAGCUCUAACUGGGCACCAAAAUAUGCAAAUUAUAGUGGUUGUGUUUUCUUCAUUAUUUUCAGUGAGCCAUUUAUGUGUGCAUCAAUACUGUUUUUUCACAUGAUUUUAUAAUGUUUUAGGCAUUCAUUAUGCAUGACUUCACAGUUCUCUGACUACUUUGGCAGGGCUCACUCUGAAAUAAAAUUAACAUUAAUGAUUAUUAAUAUGAUUUUAAUGGAGCAUUAUAUUAACAUGUGAGAAGAUUAGGGCUUGUUACUAAUAUUCUUCAUAUGAUAAUUUCUUUAACAGUUUUUAAAUUUAUUAUGCUAUUAUAUUGGCCCCUUUUCCUUGAGCAUUGCUUAGGUUUACAACUACCAAAACCACUAUGUUUAAUUAGCAAGGAAUAAUAAUAGCAACAAAAGCUAUCAUUUAUUGAGCACUCUGUCACCCUAGGCCCACUGGUAAACACUUUAAGUGUAUCAUUUUCUUUGAUCCUCACAGAACCACAGAAAAUAGAUAAUAUUGUUAUACCCAAUUUACUUUGAGGAAUCUAAAGCUUAGAUAAUUUUUUUCAACAUCGUAUUCUAGAAGUAAUGGAUCUUGGUUGCCAAAUAAAAAUGUCUGACUCUAGAGCCAGAUUUUUUUAACUACACUUAUUUAGCUCUAAAUUGCUCUUUUAGUAAGAGAUAUAUUUGAGUAGGUCGUACUAUUUCCAUUUAGUUUGCCAGUUUUUAUAUUUAACGUCUAAGGUCAUGCUGUACUAUGCUCUAGAAAAAAAAAUAAAUGUUCCCAAAUAGAGAAUUUAUUAAACACAGUGUGGUAUGUAGUAUAGUUUACUGCAUUUCCAUAAUGUUUUCUUUGAGAAACAUUAUCUCAAAAGAAAAUGAGCCCAAGAUAGGUUUUUGUUAAACAAAGUUGACUUCAUUUUAAGUACUCACAAAAUAUAUUUUAAAUAGUCCAUUCUAAACUCUUGCCUGGAGUCAAGUUCUCUGACCUGCUUUUGUAUGUCAAGACUAAGUUUACCUACCUCUAGUCUUCCAAAACUUGAAUUCUUCAUGAUUUCUUAAGAAUACCAAGGGUAGACGGAUAAACUGAUUAAGUUUCCUAAAGUUCUAAAUAAGUAAUAUAUAAACGCUAAGAGACAAUUGAGGCAGACAAAUUCUUACAGUUUUCUUAUAAACUUAGGGCUUCAACUUCCUUUUACCAGCAUUUUUCCUGCCUUUCCUAUAUGAAGAUGAUUCUCCUUGAUAACGAAAGCAGAAAACUCAAGGGGCCUUAUCAGAUUGGUUUUCUACUUAUUGUCUGUCAGUGUUAUACAACUGGACCUCAGCAACAGGAAUUUUCACCCACCUCAAUACAUUUGGGGGCUUAGAGUCACUGAUGGUAUUCUUUAGAAAUCACUGCUACUUUCUUGCUUUUCCAGCCUUCCUUGUCCAUGAGAUGAGAAUGCCCUUGUGAUCAGAGAAAGCCCUCGGGCAAAGGGCUUCUCUAUUAAAGGUAGGUUCUGGUUUAUAUUUGUAUUAUAGCCUACACAUAGAUUUAUUUUUCUGUUUUUAAAUUUUUAAUUUCCACUGUUUUGUUGAAAACAUAUAGUUUUUUUGUUCAUUUGUUUUGCUUUUUAGGAAAGUAUCACCCUAUGUACAUUGUGCUAGGUUUUUACCUUCAUGUACAGGACAAACUUAAAUUUGAAAUCCUAGGUCUCCGAGGACCGUGAGAUAAUGAAACAGGGGAUUCUGGAAUAUUGAAUAUGGUGUUUCUUCUUCAUGGAAAAGGGUGGGAGAUCUGUGCUGCAUCCACUGUCUUGGACACCCCAAAGGAAAGCUCAAUCUUACUGAUACAAUGAACUGACAGGUGAGACCUCACAGUCUCCAUCAAUCAUGCCUAAAUCAGCUGAAAUGCUGCUAUUGCUCUUUGGGGAGCAGCAGUUCAGCAGAGGAGCUGCCUCCAAUAGACAAUGAGGAAAUCACCUUUGCUAAUUGAGCCUUUCCUAAGAGAAUUGACAAGUUUGUGCUAAAAGCAGAUAGCCCUCUCCAUCUCUCCAGGAAGGGACAAAAUGGAUGGACAAGAAGACCAAUAGAUAUUGGAUCACCAUCAUAUCCCUACCUGCAUUUACUGCCCUCACAAAUCCAUAUGAAAGUAGAGUAAACUUGCUGGGCGUGGUGGCUCAUGCCUGUAAUCCCAGCACUUUGGGAGGCCGAGACUGGCGGAUCACCUGAGGUCGGGAGUUCGAGACCAGCCUGACCAACAUGGGAAAACCCCGUCUCUACUAAAAAUACAAAAUUAGCUGGGCAUGGUGGCACAUGCCUGUAAUCCCAGCUACUCGGGAGGCUGAGGCAGGAGAAUUGCUUGAACCCGGGAGGUGGAGGUUGUGGUGAGCCGAGAUCACGCCAUUGCACUCCAGCCUGGACGGCAAGAGCGAAACGCCAUUAAAAAAAAAAAAAAAAAAAAAACAAAAAAAAAACACAGAGUAAAUUCUGGGCUGCAUAAGGGCUGCAUAAAGAGAGGCAACUCCAUCUCCUCACUGUUGCCAGAAAUCCAAAGAUAACCAAAUGUUGAAAACUAACACUUUUUGAAAUUUCUUUAAUAUGGAGAAUUGAAUGAUGGUACCAAAAGAAUGUGAUGUAGGAGUCCUCAAAAGCAUAUAGUAGCUUGAGCUGCACAACAGGAAGUGUUUGCUUCUCUUCCUUCAUUCUGUAUUUUGGCCAAAGACAUUACUGUAUGAGAACAAGCCCUCUUUGUUAAUAUCAGACACAUCUUUCCCUUGAGAUCCUCAAGAUCAUGAAUUAAAAUAUUUUCUUCCUGCAAUAUUUUAUCUUCUCCAAAAUCUCUGGAUUGAUCUGCAGGGAGGAACAGUCACAGGCUCUAAAUACUAGACCCUCAAGAGAAUAUAGAUAUAACAAAUUCUAAAUAUGAAGAUUACAUACCAAUGCUUAAAAUAUAGUAAACUACAGGUGUGGAGGAGAAAUCUGAAGGCAGAAGAAGGGCUGGAGACUGGGUCUUCAAGUUCAUCCUUGAAGCCCAAGCUUCACAGCUAUCUCAAUCUGAACCACACUCCAUAGCAGCAUCACAAUUGCUCUUGGUGGGGACCCAGUGAUUUUCCAAGCAGGAGCCCCCUAUCUUGGCAAUAUGUUUAGCCUUACCCAUGAAGGUUUUUCCAGUGUGAGAAGAGUUACUUCCAACUUUGUGCCCUGGAAGCCUUCUCACCCCACUCCAAAUCUUUCAACACUCUCUACCCACCCAUCCCCACCCACCAUUCCAACCAAGACAGUAGUAACUUUCCCAUGUGACAGCAGCUGUAGCUAAAACUAUUCACUUUUCCAUCUACCCCUGGCCAUUUGCAGUAUCUUUAAACAACAUUCUGUCUUGAUGAAUCUUGGAUUCUUUGUUUUGUUAAAAAUAAAUAAAUAAAUAAAUAAAUAAGGGCUAUUUUCUUACAAUUUCCAUUUUAAUUUUUACCUAACCCAGGAAAUUCAGAAUAUCAUAUCUGAUGACUCAAUAAGGUGGGUGAUGCACUUUCCAGUGCCUCUAGUGUAUAUUUCUCUCCCUUCCAUCCUCACUGCUUCUUCCUCUAAUAAGUGUCUCAUCAUCUUUCACCAGCUGCUUUCUUGUUGACUUCAAGUAGUGUACUUCUCCAGCCUAGCUCCAUCAUUUAUUCUUCAUAUAGAUGCAGAGUUUUCUUUGUAAAGCAUAGAUGUGAUCAUUAUAUUGUCUUGUUCCCAAAACUUUACAAAAAGAAAAAUACACACACAAAAAAAGAAUUCAAAUAAUGAGAACCAUUUCAUUCAAAUAUGAGAAAAGAGCAUGAAGAUCUCUCAAAUAACUGAGUAUAACUACAGGUACAAAAAGUUUGCUUAAAAUAUUAAGGUCAACAACUAAAAUAAUAGAGUUAUAUUAUCCAAGUUAGCAGAGUGUAAAGCCAGAAAUAAAUAAAACCUAAUCAAUAUAGAAAAGGGCAGAAAAAGAGAAAAAUAAACACAACAAAAAGCAUGAUAAAUAUUUAAAAAGAAAUAACCACAAUAAAUGUAAGUGGCCUCAAUCUGCCUUUUGGGAGACAGAUCCUUAUGUUGGGUAAUGAACUAUAUUUCUUUUAAAUGCUAAUUAUGAGGGAGACACGUAAUGCAUAAGGCUCUUGGAAAUUUGGAAGAAAAAUGAGAGAAAAAUACAUGGAGAGAUAUUUUCUAAGCAAAAUACAAUUGACAGAUGAAAUAGAGAAUGACCAGUUAUAUUUGAAUUUUAGAUAAAUAGUGAAUAUUCUUAUUAUAAUUAUGUCCCAAAUAUUGCAUACAGCAAACUUAUACAAAAAAAAGGAAAAAAAAAAGGUUAUUGUUUAUCUAAAUGUUAAAUUUAACUGGUAUACUAUAAUUUUAUUUACUAAAUCCAGCAACCCUAAACCAAAGGAAUGUUGGCCAAGCUAUAUUAUUAUCAGAUAAAAUAGACUUUGGUUCAGCAAGAGUUUUUUUCAAUAAGGGAUAAACUGCACAAACCAUAAAGUAAAUGACAAAUCCACUAUACUACAUUCAAAUUGUAAAGCCUCUGAUCAAAAAAAACAACAUAAACAAAGUGAAAAUAAAAUGCACAGACUGGGAGAAGACAUUUCUGAUUCACAUAACAGGUAAAAGAUUAAAAAUUAAUAAUUUAUAAAUUGCUUCUAUAAGUUAGGUAGGAAGGAAGGAAAAAAGGAACACAGAGAGGAAGAGAGGGAGAGAAGGGAGAGAGAAAAGAAAAGCAAAUAUCCCAGUAGAAACAUGAUUUAAAGUAUAUGAACAGGCAAUUCAAAGUACAAAGCCAAAUGGUUAAUAUAAGAUGAUAAACUUCGUAAUCAGGAAAAUAAAGAUUGACCAAGAGCUGCCAUUAUUGCCCAAAUGAGUAUCAAAAAUUUUAAAUCUUGACAAUCCCAGUGUUGAAGAAGAUAAAUUAUAUUUAAAAAAUCAUUGUUAGACAUAUAAAUCAGUAAAACCAAUCUGGAAAUCAAUUUGACAUCUGUAAGAAUGCACAUAGGAAUAAUAUCUUUUGAACAAGAUGUUCUAUUCUAGGUUAUAUACCUAGGGCUGUGCUGUCUAAUACAGCAGCCACUAACUGUAUGUGGCGAUUUAAAUUUUAAAAUAAAUUACUUUAAAUUAAAUAAAAUUUAAAAUUAUGCUCCUUAGUUGUACUAGCCACAUUUCAAGUUCUCAGUAGCUGCAUGUGGCUACUGAUUAUCAUAUUGGACAGACCAGAUAUACAACGUUUCCAUCAUUGUACAAACUUUUAUGGGAUAGUGACCCUAAGAUUGUCUUUAAUAAUAAUUUCUACAAGAAAGCGUGUUUUUCUUUUUUUUUUUGGCUUCCCUGCCCCCAUAACUAGCACAACUUCUUCCAUCUCAAGUAGCGGUCAUUGCUCUAAGAUGACUUAUUUAAAAGAAAUUUCCCAUCUAGUUUAGCCUAAGCACUUUUUUAAAAAUUAGAGAAAUAUUUUACUCAUGUCUAAGAAUAUAAAUAAAUAAAUGUAAAUAUAGACUUUUAGAAAAGAAGCUAAAAAUGUCCCAUUUGUCAAACAAAUUACCAAACUGGAGGUACAUGAGCCUGCAGAUAUAUUUUAUUUGGUCAAUGGUUUGUUUUGGUUAUUCUUAAGUUGAAUUUGUUCCCAACACUUAAAAGUAUAGAGAUUUUCUUUAUUUUUUUUAAAGUUGUCUGACUUCUUUUUAAAAAUAGAAAAAUCUGGGAAACUGAGCCUAUAUCCAUUGACAAAAAAACCUUUGUUAGUGCUGAGUGGUGAGAACUUUAUUUUGCAGGUGCACUGCCUUUCCAAUAGAUCCCAGUCCUUCACCACUUCCCUCAUUUAUAUCAUCUGCCUGGCCCCUGUGUACUGGCUUGGAACUGCAACCUCUGUUCCCAAUAUACAAAAAUGAUCGUAUUGCUUUCUGGCAUACCUAAACACUCACGGGCUCCCAGCUAUGUUGUAGUUGUGUGUGGUUGACCACAUCAGCCAUCAUGAGAAUAAAUAUUUGACUAUCACAGGAACUUGAAAAGACUAAAAUAUCAAUCGAUCGAGUUAUGUUAAGAUAUUUUAGUUUGAGCAUAUGAUUCUCUGCAUAUGUUUAUUUCUGUGGUUUUAUUUAUAUAGACAUGUCUGUGCUGUAUUUAUGCAUCUUACAACUGUUAUUUUGAGGAAAUAAAGUAGAGGUGAAGGUCCAGCCAUCCUCAGCUGUUAGAAAUUAAUACUGUGUUGGCAGAUGCACCAGAGAAGGCUAACGUAUCACUCUGUUUACACCUGAAUGGAGUUGGGGGAAGCACAAUGUAAAUAAACAUACUGUUUUCAAAGAGUAGAAAUGUUGAAAUCAACUGGCUAAUUGCUUUUAAGGAAGAGUACCUUACUAUGCUUCACCUCUGGCCUGAAUUCCUUCUCUUAAUUAAUUAGGCAACAAAAUAUUAACAUAACUAUCAGUCAGAGUUUAAAUGGUCAUUCUUCAGGGAUAUUGUAAAAAGAAUUGCUACUGCAUUGAGUUUGGCCAUGAUUCAGUUUAAUAAUUUGGUUUCUUGACAUCUUGGGGUAAGACAAAGUCAGUAAGUUAAAUGGUUUGGGUGAUUAGGGACAGGGCCAGAAAAAAGUGGUUGAUUUUAUUGUGAAGACUCCAAUCACUCACUCAGAUACACUUAAGACUUCCUCUGGCAUAAGAGAAACUUUAUACCCCUUGAAGAACAAUUUCCUACUUUUCCUUCCCCCUGGCCCCGGUGAACACUAUUCUAUUUUCUGCUUUUAUGAGUUUGACUAUUUGAGAUACUUCAUAUAAAUGGAAACGUGUAGUAUUUGCCUUUCAGUUUCUGGCUUAUUUCACUUAGCAUAAUUUCCUCUAGUUUCAUUCAUGUUGUCGCAAAUGGCUGGAUUUCCUUCUUUUUUAAGGCUGAAUAAUAUUCCAUUGUAUGUACAUAUCACUUUAUUAAUUCAUCUUUCCAUUACCUUUUGGGUUGUUUCUAUUAUAAAUAAUGCUACAAUGAAUAUGAGGGUGCAAGUAUCUCUUUCAGAUUCUGAUUUCAAUUCUUUGGGAUAUAUGCCCAGAGGUGAGAUUACUAAAUCAUAGAGUCAUUCUAUUUUAAUUUGCUGAGGAACUUCCAUGCUGUUUUUCCUAGUGGCUGCACCAUUCUACAUUCCCUCCAAAAGUGUAUAAGGGUUCCAGUUUCUCCACAUCCUCUUUAACACUCAUUAUUUUUUGUUCUUCUGUUUUUGUUUUUGUUUUUUUAUAGCCAUCCUAAUAGGUGUGAGGUUUCUCACUGUGGUUUUUGAUCUGCAUUUAUCUGAUGACUAGUGACACUGAACAUGUUUUCCUAUAACUGGUAGCCAUUCAUAUGUUUUCUUUGGAUAAAUAUCUAUUCAAGUGUUUUGCCCACUUUUUAAUCAGGUUGUUUGUUUUUGUGUUUUUUUGCUACUGAGCUGUAGAAGAUUCUUAUAUAUUUUGGAUACUAACCCCUUAUCAGAUAGAUGGUUGGCAAAUAUUUUCUCCCAUUCUGUAGGAUGCCCUUACACUCUGAUGAUUGUUUCCUUGGCUCUGCAGAAGAUUUUUAAUGAGAUGUAGUGUCCCUUGUCUAUUUUUGCUUUUGUUGCUUGAGCGUUGAUGUGAUAUUAAAAAUAAAAUCGUUGCCAGGACCAAUGUCAAGAAGUUUUCCCCUUACAUUUCAUUUUAGGAGUUUUACAGUUUCAGGUCUUAUAUUUAGGCUUUUAAUACAUUUUGAAUUGAUUUUUGUGUAUGUAUAAAAUAGGGGUCCAAUUUUUUCUGCAUGUGGAUCUUCAAUUUUUUCAACAUCAUUUGUUUAAGAAGCUAUUCUUUCCUUAUUAUGGGUUCUUGGUAACCUUUUCCAAGGUCAAUUGACCAUAUAUAUGAGGAUUUAUUUCUGGACUCUCUUUUCUGUUUCAUUAGUCUGUAUGUCUGAUUUUAUGACAGCAGCAUACCAUUUUGAUUACUGUAGUUUUGUAAUAUAUUUUGAAAUUAGGAAAUGUAAUGUCUCUGGCUUUGUUCUUUUUUUUUCAAGAUCAUGUUAGCUAUUUGGGGUCUUUUGUGGUUCUGUACAAAUUUCAGGAUUUUUAUCUAUUUCUGUAAAAUAUGCCAAUGAAAUAUUGAUAAGGGUUACAUUCAUUCUGUAGGUAGCUUUGGGUAGUAUGGAUAUUUUAACAAUAUUAUUUCUUGCAACUCAUGAACACAGGAUGCCUUUUCAGUUAUUUGUAUGAAUUUCCUGUUGUACAAGAUGAGUCAGUUCUAGAAAUCAUCUCUACAACAUAGUACAUAUAAUUAACAAUAUGACUUUGUGCACUUUGAAGUAUGUUGAAGAUAGAUCUCAUAUCUCAUGUUAAAUAUUCUCACCAAAAAAAAAAAAACCCCUUCACAAACGAACACAAGGAAAUGUUUGGAAGUGACAAGUGUUAGUAACCUGGUUGUGAUGGUAUUACAGGUGUACACAUGUGUCCAAACUCAUCAAGAUGUAUACAUUAAAUAUGUGUAAUUUUUGUAGAUCAAUUAUAUCUAACUAAAGUUUAAGCUUUUUCUGGAAAUAAAUGGAGGAUGAAAAAGCAGGAGCUGGAGAAGGGAGAAAUCUCCUCACUGAGGUUAGACUAUAUUGCUAACCAAAGAUGAUGGGAGAAUCAGAACUUCUUAGCACAUGAUCUCUUUAGACCAGUGUUUUAAUCUUUCUGUGUGAUCUGCUCUCUGAUUUUUCCCCUAGUCUGUAAUUUUUUAUAAUAUUGGCGAUGACUGUUUUAUUCUUUUCCUUGGUCUUCCUCUUUUUGUUACACACAGGAUAAGAGAUAAGGCAAAAGAAGAACAAAGAAUGUUGCAGGCAACCCUUUAACUGGCAUCUUAUCCUGCCUGGGUUGCUUCAUCUGUUGCAUUGUUUUUUCUUUAGUCCUAUCUCUUCCCAGGUUUUCUGAGUUUAAAGAAAAGCCAAGUCCUCACUGUGAUGCCUAAAGCAUAAAAUAUUAAGAAAUACUAAAGUAUAAAUAAUGUGGGGUGAUUCAAAACAUAUAUUCCAUUAACCAGUAAAUCUGUGAUGCAGAAUCCAUUGUAUUCACAUGGCUGUCAAUAAGAAUUCAAUGGCAAAGAACCAAUCUACUCCUUUAAGCAGGAAGGAAUGUAUUACAGGAUAUUAGAUAGUUACAAAACUAUCUGAAAGACUGAAGAAAUGGACUCUGGGUUGAUCUUUUAAGAAUGAAGAAUGACUUUCAAGAAAACCUAGGAAACACUCUUCUGGACAUUGGCCUAGGCAAAAAAUUUGUGAUGAAGAUCUCAAAAGCAAAUGCAACAAAAACAAAAAUAGAUUAAUGGGACUUAAUUAAACUAAAAUUCUUCUGCAGAACAAAAGAAAUAAUCCACAGAGUAAACAGACAACCUACAGAAUGAGAGAAAAUAUUUGCAAAUUAUGGCUCUGACAAAGGACUAAUAUUCAGAAUUUACUAGGAACUCAACAAGAGAGAAACAAACAACUCCAUUAAAAACUGGGCAAAGAAUAUGAACAGACAUUUUCUCAAGAAAUACAGGCAUCCAACAUAUGAAAAGAUGCUCAGCAUUACUAAUUAUCAGAGAAAUGCAAAUUAAAGCCACAAUAACAUAUCAUCUUACACCAGCCAAAGUAGCUAUUAUAAAAAGUUAAAAGACAACAUGUUGGUGUAGAUGCAGAGAAAAGGGAAUGCUUAUACACUGUUGCUGGGAAAGUAAAUUCGUUCAUCCUUGACUUAUAUUGGAUAUUUGUCCCUGCCCAAAUCAAAUAUUGAAUUGUAAUUUCCAGUGUUGGAGGUGGGGCCUGGUAGGAGGUAUUUAGAUCAUGGGGGCAGAUUCCUCAUGAAUGGCUUGAACCAUCCUCUGGGGAUAAGUGAGCUCUGAGUUCACAUGAAAUCUAAUCAUUUAGAAGUGUGUGGCACCACCUACUCCACUCUCUGUCUCUUGCUCCUGCUCUGGCCAUGUGAUGUUUCUGCUCUCCUUUCACCCUCUACCAUGAUUUUAAGUUUACUGAGGCCUCCCCAGAAGCCAAAUAGAUGCCAGCACCCUGCUUUCUGUAAAGACUGCAGAACUGUGAGCCAGUUAAACUUCAUUUCUUUACAAAUUACUUGGUCUCAAGUAUUUCUUCAUAGCAGCACAAGAAUGGCCUAACGCAAACCUCUAUGGAAAACAGUAUCGAGAUUUCUCAAAGAACUGAAAACAGAACCACCAUUUGACCUAGCAAUCCCACUACUGAGUAUCUACCCAAAGGAAAAAAAAUCAUUAUAUGAAAAGACACCUGUGCUCAUACAUUAAUUGCAACACUAUUCACAAUAGAAAAGUCAUAGAACCAAUGUGAGUUUCCAUCAAGGUUAACUGGAUAAAGAAAAUGUGGUAUAUACACAUCAUGGAAUACUACACAGCCAUAAAAAAGAAUGAAAUCCUGUCCUUUGUAGCAACAUGGAUGGAGCUGGAGGCCAUUAUCCUAUGUGAACUCACUCAGGAACAGAAAAUCAAUACCACAUGUUCUAAUAUAUAAAUGUAUAAGCUUGUAUAAGCAGUUUGUACACAUGGACAUGAUCAUGGAAUGAUAGACACUGGGGACUCCAAAAGGGGAAAGGGUGGAAAGAGGGCAAAGGUUGAAAAAUUAUCUAUUGGGUACAAUAUUCCCCAUUUGGGUAAUUGAUACACUAAAAGCCCAAUCCCCACCAUUAAGCAAUAUACCCAUGUAACAAACAUACACAUGUACCACCUGAAUCUAAAAAUAAAAUAAAUUUUAAAAACGACUUUCAAAAGACACACCAUUAAACUGGAUCAUCAAAAGAACUGCUACAUAUAAGUUAAUUAAGUACAAGCAACGUAGCCUUUUUUGGUAUCCCUAUGUGUAGGUCAGAGCCUGGCAUUGUCAUGGUUAGGGGCCCUACCAGAACUGAAUGAACCCCAGAUCUGUCUCAUUACCUCUGCAUCUGUGAUGCCACUACCCGUUGUGCAAGAGGGCUUAACUACUAACAUUCUCUUUGUUCUUUGGUGAUUGACUUGUUCUCUGUGAGCUUUUGAUUUCUCACAUAUAAAAUGGAACUAAUAUGUACUCCAUUUCCUUAAAGUUUGGGAUAAUAUAUAAUGAUUUUAGGAUCAAGAAAGUGAAUUCUUACAGAAAACCUGGGACAAUAAGUGUUAAUUCAAUUUAUUUGUUAAAAAGCUUACAUCUACGUGAAACAUUUUAUUUAGCGGUGUUUUAUUUUGAAGCAGUCAACUUGAUGGAUUUGAAAAAUGGAAGAAUGGUUGCCUUUUCAAAUCACAGAAGUAUUUAUAAUCAUAAACCCUUGCCUUUGAGUAAGCAUAGUUGAAUUGAAAUUAGUGUAGUUCCUCCCUACAGAAAUACUGUUUGUGAAUGGCAAUGGACCAGGAUUUAAAUAGGUUCAAUUUAUUAUAUGAAUUAAACACAAAUAAUGAGUUUAGCUCUUCUUUUUUCUUUCUUUCUUUCUU